UUGCAUUUGCCAAACACUAAAACUCCUUAUUGGCUUUUUGAUUAAGUUAAUAAAUUGGUUGGAAAAGCUUAGCCAAACAUGCUCUAAAACAUAACUAUUAUAGUGGCUUUUAUAUACAAAAGACUAGAUAAAACUACAUUUAACCAGAUCCCUUUUUUACUCUUGUGUUGAAUUUUGAUUCUGAAGUUUGCUCCAAUGUUUCUCCUGUGGAUCGGUGAAAUUUUUCCCCAUUUUCGGGAUGAAGUGUAAGUUUCAAUUGAAACAACACGUGCUAGGGUUUAACACUGGUUAAAGGCGGUCAAACGUGCAUGUGCUUUAUACACCGAUGUGAAUUGUGAAGGCACUGUGGGGGAGGGUGGUUUGUUCCCCACCCGGGGGCGAGACUUCACAGGCUCUCGGCUCUCCCCGGCUGCCUUGUAGUUGUUUUUUUUUUUUUUUUUGAACGGCCAACAAAAACGUUUUAUCCCUCGUGUGUGUGUGUCAGAAUGAGGUUAGUUUAAAAAACUGUGUAUUUGUUUGUUUGCUUAUUCAACUUAACGGUGUGUUCCCGAGUUAAAAAUCCCUCCCCUCCCCUCUAUGUCUUUUCAAAUUGGAAAGACUAUUUUCAGGCAAAAAAAACCCCAUUUUCCCUCCCCUCCCCUCCCCUGUUAAGUGGAUCUCUGAAACACAGCCUAAUAGUAAUAGUAAUUAGCAACCACGGCAGAUAAUUUACGCGUCAAUUGAAAGUUUGCAACAAAAUCACACCAGGAUUGAUUUAUAACAGGAAGUCUAGUUCAGUUAAAACGAGCUCUAAUCUUUUCUUGCUACUGAUUGAUAAUUUGUUCUACAGGAUGCAUUUUUCCAGUGAAACCGCAAUGCGUCACUGACCAACAAUGCUAGUGAAAUACCCCUGUUUCCCUCAGAAUGUAUACUUAAGACUUUUUGGGGUUAAACAUUCUACUUUUCAACUUCACCGCAUAUAUAAAUCUUUUAGAUUUUCUAGAAAGGAUUUUCACAAACUGCAUCAAUAUAUGUAACUAGCACCAAUUAUAUAAAGUUCUUUAAUGAUAUCCACUUGAAUCUUGAAUCAAUUAUGUAGGCGAAGAAGACACUCCCUGGAUUCCAGAGGAGGAAAUAUUACUGCAGGAUGUCGUGAAUAGCUAAUAUUACUGCAGCAUCUGUCAUAAAUAUUUAUUCCUAGCUUAAUCUUAUAUCUUUUUUUUUUUGACGCGGCACGAAGCUAACACGAAAUCCGUAGGUUUGGGUUGACCCCAUUACUUUGACAUCUUUUUAAUAGUCUGUGUUUUAUGUCGUAAUUUAAACCAAUUAGGUAUUUUAUGUCAGAACUUGAAAGAUAGAGAAAUAAGCUGGGUAUGAUAAUCUUUAUCUUUAUUCACAUGCAUAUACACAUGUAGCAAAUUUGUUGAUCCAAUGUAGCAAGUUUGAUGAAUCUUGAUUCUUCCUUUGUUAAAGUUUCUUAUUUGAUUUUACUUCUUAUUUAGGAUUUUUUUAUUACAGUACCCAAUGUUUGAAACCCUAAUUACAAAGAACAUAUUAAAAUUGGGCCCAUUUGAAUGCAGAAACUGAAGCAUCUUGCGGUUUUAGGGAUUCACCAGAAUCGGAAUCUUCCGAUCACCAGCAACAACUCGCCAACAAGGAGGCGGUUAUCGGAGAUCUGUACACUUUGGGCAGCUACUAUAUUCUCCAUUUAAUUUCAGGUCAUAAAAGGCACAAUGUGAAGGCCAUAGUUGUUACAUGUGCAAAAGGCAAAUUUUCUGGUGGUUUUGACAUCAGUGCAUUUGGUGCACUGCACUGCAGGAAGGGAAAGAGAUAAAAAGAAAGAAUGUGCUUCAAAUCAAGCUGCUUAUUACCCUAUUGGUGUUGACGUAUUCUUAUCUCCCCGUAAGAUUGAUCAUAUUGCACGCCUGCUUGAACUCCCAAAAGUUGAAUCAUCUGGAAAAAUCCCUCAUUUGCUUGUUGUAAAUCUUCAAAUACCUUUAAACCCCCUACACUAUUUCAAAAUGAAUAUGACGGAAAAGGAAUGAGUUAUGUUUUGAACUUCCGCUUCAUUUUAAAGAAAAUAUCAGGAAAAUAAUUGAUGAUGAGGUGGAAAGGGUUAGAGGUUUCCCGGUAGAUACAAUUGCACCCUGCAGGGAAAGAUUGAAGAUCUUGGGCCGACUCACAAACUUAGAGGAUCUUCAGUUGAGUUCCGCUGAAAGGAAGCUUAUGAGUGCUUAUAACAAGAAGCCCUUUCUCUCACGUCCCCAACAUGAAUUUUUCUUGGUAGAUAUAUUUAUUCCACGUUUUUUUUAUCUCAUGGUACUUUUUGACGUAUAUUAAGUAUUUUUUUAUUAA